rnacentral:rRNA from 1 species
UACGGAGGGUGCAAGCGUUAAUCGGAAUUACUGGGCGUAAAGCGCACGUAGGUGGUUUGCUAAGCCAGCUGUGAAAUCCCCGGGCUCAACCUGGGCACUGCAGUUGGAACUGGCAAGCUAGAGUAGGGUAGAGGGGUGUGGAAUUCCAGGUGUAGCGGUGAAAUGCGUAGAUAUCUGGAGGAACAUCAGUGGCGAAGGCGACACCCUGGACUCAUACUGACACUGAGGUGCGAAAGCGUGGGGGAGCGAACAGG